AGCUUUGCGCUGUGGCAGUAUCGUAGCCAAUGAUGUUUAUCCGAGGCGCGAUUAUUGCUAAUUAUAAAAUGGGUAUAAUAAUGUACAACACUGUGAUAAUAGUGUGUAUCAUUGGCACAGUGCCUGGCAUGUAGUAAGAGCUUAAUCCAUACACAUUCCCUUAGUGAACAGAAACACU
rnacentral:snRNA from 1 species